UACGUAGGGUGCGAGCGUUGUCCGGAAUUAUUGGGCGUAAAGAGCUCGUAGGCGGCUUGUCGCGUCGAAUGUGAAAACGCGAGGCUCAACCUCGCGCCUGCAGUGGGUACGGGCAGACUAGAGUGCGGUAGGGGAGAUUGGAAUUCCUGGUGUAGCGGUGGAAUGCGCAGAUAUCAGGAGGAACACCGAUGGCGAAGGCAGAUCUCUGGGCCGUAACUGACGCUGAGGAGCGAAAGCGUGGGGAGCGAACAGG
rnacentral:rRNA from 1 species